rnacentral:rRNA from 1 species
UACGGGGGGGCAAGCGUUGUUCGGAAUUACUGGGCGUAAAGGGCUCGUAGGUGGCCAACUAAGUCAGACGUGAAAUCCCUCGGCUUAACCGGGGAACUGCGUCUGAUACUGGAUGGCUAGAGUUUGGGAGAGGGAUGCGGAAUUCCAGGUGUAGCGGUGAAAUGCGUAGAUAUCUGGAGGAACACCGGUGGCGAAGGCGGCAUCCUGGACCAACACUGACACUGAGGAGCGAAAGCCAGGGGAGCAAACGGG